rnacentral:misc_RNA from 1 species
AAAGUCGUAACAAGGUUUCCGUAGGUGAACCUGCGGAAGGAUCAUUAUCGAUUCAAAAAGGAUGUGCUGGCCGCAAGGCAUAAGUGCACUCUGAAUCCCACAUCUCCCUGUGCACUUACUGUGGGCAGAAAUGGGGCUUUUGUCCCAAUUUGCUCAUGCUUUUUACACACUCUUAUAACAUAUCAUGAAUGUAUAUGAAGUAGGCUUUGUUUCAAAGCUGAAAAUAAAACAAUACAACUUUCAACAAUGGAUCUCUUGGUUCUC